UACAGAGGUCUCAAGCGUUGUUCGGAUUCAUUGGGCGUAAAGGGUGCGUAGGCGGCGCGGUAAGUCGGGUGUGAAAAUCCGGGGCUCAACCCCGGACUUGCAGUGGGUACGGGCAGACUAGAGUGUGGUAGGGGAGACUGGAAUUCCUGGUGUAGCGGUGAAAUGCGCAGAUAUCAGGAGGAACACCGGUGGCGAAGGCGGGUCUCUGGGCCGAAAUUGACGCUGAGGAGCGAAAGCGUGGGGAGCAAACAGG
rnacentral:rRNA from 1 species